GAUGAAUGCUGGCGGCGUGCCUAAUACAUGCAAGUCGAGCGAACAGACGAGGAGCUUGCUCCUCUGACGUUAGCGGCGGACGGGUGAGUAACACGUGGAUAACCUACCUAUAAGACUGGGAUAACUUCGGGAAACCGGAGCUAAUACCGGAUAACAUGUUGAACCGCAUGGUUCAACAGUGAAAGACGGUCUUGCUGUCACUUAUAGAUGGAUCCGCGCCGCAUUAGCUAGUUGGUAAGGUAACGGCUUACCAAGGCAACGAUGCGUAGCCGACCUGAGAGGGUGAUCGGCCACACUGGAACUGAGACACGGUCCAGACUCCUACGGGAGGCAGCAGUAGGGAAUCUUCCGCAAUGGGCGAAAUCCUGACGGAGCAACGCCGCGUGAGUGAAGAAGGUCUUCGGAUCGUAAAACUCUGUUAUUAGGGAAGAACAAAUGUGUAAGUAACUAUGCACGUCUUGACGGUACCUAAUCAGAAAGCCACGGCUAACUACGUG
rnacentral:rRNA from 1 species